GUUUUGGAGUGUAGGCUUCACGAUGCUGGCAGUUUUGACGUUGGCACGGAUCAUCAACAAAAACAAACCAUCACGACGGACGAUCCAGGCAGAACCGCACACCAGCUUGCGGUAGGAUCGUCAUGAAUAAUAAAUAUUGAAAAUUGAUACCUUUUUCUUGAAAAGGGUAUGCAAUCAUGCGAAUCGCUCCUGCCUCGACUGAAAAUGCCGUCGCUGACAUGGUCCGCCCUCAACAGUGGCCAGAAGCGAGUUCUGCUGCGUUAUGGAUAAUGUUUCAAAAGCAGAGUAAGAACGCCACCAAAACUUCAAUUUGAAUCCAGUCGGGUCUCUAUUGUCCCCUGAAUUCCACCAUCAGCCUCUACCUCAAUGAGAAGGGACCCACUUCGCUGCGACUAUUCUGACAACACCGGGAAAAGACACUCCUGAGAAAGAUUAUUCCCCUCGCUAGGUCCUAUUUGGAGUAUUGUGGUUCAACUCAGUGAACCAAAAUAACCUGUGAAUCAAAACGAACCUGCGAACGUGGAGCAUCUCACGUUCGGAAAUACCUGGACGAAGCAAUCGAAAAGGGUGCCGAAAUGGAUGCAGUGAUACGGUAGAGAAGGAAUAUGCCAACAGAUUGUCGGAGUUGACCAACGUGGUUGCGAUCGGGUUAGUCUCAGACGUUUUCGUCGGUGACGAUUUGGACUACACCCGGAAAGAUAAACCGAUUCAGCGAUCGAUUGACCCGCAGGAUAUGGUGACGAAAUUCGAGAAUGCAGUUAAGUCAAAGCGAUUGGUUUUAGUAUAAAAAGAACUUGUAUUGCUGUAAAGGUAGUACCGAAAAUGCAGGAAACUCCCUCACAUUUAAUCUUUAAUUCUGGAAAUCCCCUAGAACUUCUUUCUUAGAUAACUCCAGGAGUUCCUCCUGAGAUUCCCCUAGAGGUUUCUUCUAGGAUUUCUUAAGGUAUCCAUUCUGGGAUAUAUUUGAGUGAUCUAUCUGAAAUUUCUACAGGAAUUUCUACCGGGAUUCCUCAAGGAUUUCCUUCCCCCAGUUUUCUUCAGGAGUUCAUUCUAAGAUUUCUUCGAUCAUUAUGGAUCAAUUCGGCGGAUAGUUUUUUUUUGCAACUGCCUUUUUUUCAAUUAUUAAUUUUCUAUCGUGAUGUUACCAGUGGGACGAAAAAAAAAUAAUCCAAAGUCCGCGGACUUUUACAUUCGACCGAUAAGGUGGUGAUGCGGCUGGUUUGGUGCCUUCAGAUCACGCCGGGAAAGCGGUUUGAUGAAGUAAUUCUGCCGGAAAUGCUGUGAGAAGAUUCUAGGAAGUGGCCAGCAAGGGAUGAAAUGUUUUGCGGAGGAUUCGGUCAAUGGAAUAUGUUGAUUAGAAGUGAAUGAAGAGUGAAGUGGGAAGGGAAUUUAAGUGAAGUGGUUAUUGUUGUAGAAGUUGUGAUGUCGAAAAUUGCAUUUGCGUUGAAAACAUACGUGUAUCUGCGUGAAUGUGUGGAAAUAAUUUGUAUGAAAAUUCAAGUGUUUAUGCAUGAAAAGUCUGAAGGACAGUGCAAAGGAUCGCAAUAGUCUGAAUGCGCGCGACGUGUUAGCAUUUCCUGCAGUAUUUUUUUCACUCCGGAUAUUUUUUUCCUUGUUUUUGUUUUUAUGGGUUUAAAUAUUUACCGAAGAUCGCGGGCUAGGAAAACACAAACCGUUAAAGUAAAAGCACUGAGAAAUUACACCGAAACCUUUUGGAACCUGACAUGCCUGCCGAAGAUGCUGUUGGUAGCGGAUGAAUGCAGCAUUUUCUCAGCUUCUUUUGAAGAAAAAUAGUUUGGCUGAUCAGAAGAAAAUGAAAUCCGUUUCUGUAGCUAAUGAACGACGCACUCUAAUUGAUGAAUUUGGUGAGUUCGUUCUAAUUUAAAUCAUGUUGUUGUCACAAUUAUCAGAUGCAUUACCUUUGGGAUAUAGAUAAAUAUUUUAUUAGAUGUACAUGGGGAAGGGGUCACUCUGCUUUUUUCUCGUUUCAGAGAGCGAGUAAUGGCGCUUAAGCCUAGGCUUUCGAGCCUGGACAUGAGGGUCAAAUUCCUAUGUCCCAUCCCAGGAGGAAGACCAUCGACGGAGUGACAUUAACUUUCUUAGCAAAGUCACUCCCAACGAAUUUACUUCACGUUUAUACUGUAUACUAUGCUGAGCGGUUGGUACGAGAUGUCCCCGUUCUAUAGCAUUAUCGUGGUAUCAAUAUCCACAAAAAAACGCUGCACAGUAGGCCUGGCCGCUUCAAUUCUUGUAUUACAUCCCCGAUGUGCUGCAAGCAUUGAUAAUGACAAGAAAAAUGAUAGAAGUAGUCGAUUCUAUCAUUUUCCAGGAUUCUUUCAAUGAAUGGCUGUGUAUGUGUAGACUAGACUAGACUAGACUAGGAGUUCAUUCUAAGAUUUCUUCUACAGUUUCAAGGAAAGAAUAAUUGUUAGUUAUUCUGGAACUCCGCAAUGAUUUAUUCCUGAAAUCAACUAAAAAUUUUAAUUGCAACGAUGAAGCUCGGCGUUUGAGGAAUGGAUUUUAGAUGUGCUUUGCAUUUGGAAGAAAAUUUUUAUUCUAGAAACGUAGCAUUAUCAGAAGGCUCCAGUUUUUUAUGAUGCUUCUGGAAUUUUUCCAGUAGUUCCUUUUGGAACUCAUCUAUUCGUUUCUUUAAAGAUUUCUACAACAGUUCCUUUUAAGAUUCUUCCAGAAACACUUUCUGGGUAUCCUGCUGGAGUUCUCCCAGAAUUCGUUCUGUGGUACUUUCUCAGAAUUGAUUCUAAAAUUUUCUCAAUCAGUUCCCCAAAAAAUCAUAAAAGUUUUCCAGAAAUUUCACCAAAAUAACCCUGAUAAUUUGUUUACAAUCUACACAGAACUUCUUCCAGAAGUACCCCGAGAAGCCCUUCAGGAGUUCCACGAGAACUCCUCUAGGACUUUCUAGGAAAUUCCUACAUGAGCCCCCGGGAAUACCUCCAUGGCUUCCCCCGGAAUACUUCCAAGAAUCAAACGGGAUAUUUCUAGAAAUACCCCAAGAAUUCCUCCAGCAUUUUUCAGGGAAUUUUUCUAUGGAAAUUCCUCCACAAAUGAUCCAAAGUUCUCUCUAGGAUUUCCACGAAAUUUGUUUCAGAAGUUCACGAGAAUUAAUCCAAGAUUUCCUCAAGAAGUCCUCUAGAAAAUAUGAGCAUGAGCAUAGAUGAGAAGUCCUCUAGUAAUUAUGCCCGGAAUUUCAUCCAGCAGUUUCUGGAAAUAUUUGCAUAAGUUUCUCACAAAAAAAAACUUCAGGAAUUUCCCGGAAUUCCUUCAAGAUGUUAAAAUGUACCUAACUUUAUUACUCAUGAAAACUACAUUGUAAAGACGCGACACGUGUACGGUUGGACGGCUAAAAACUUAAGUCUGCUUUUGUGCAUCAACCGAUCGCAUAUUGAAAUGCUAUCGACGAGCAAGCAGAGCGGCGAGAGUUCAGAGAUUGUUCAGUAGUUCUUAAUAGGUUCUCGUUUACACCUGGAGUUGUUCUUACACUGCCAUGUGUCUCGGCUACCCCGAACACCAGGUUGUAACAUAGGAAUUGCUCUAGGAGUUCCGCAAGAAAUCCUUCAGGAGAUGCCCGGGAACUCCUCCAGGAGUUCCUCAGGAAUUCCUCUUGGAGUUCCCAAGAAAUUCUUGAAGAAGUUCCCCGGGGAUACCUCCGUUAGUUCUUCAGCAAUUCCUCCCGGAGCUCCCUGGGAAAUCCUCCAAAAGUUCUCCGAGAAUUCCUUUAAGAAGGCACCGAAAAUUCCUACGGGAAUUCGAUCAGGAGUUCCUCGGAAAUUUCUCUAGGAAUUCCUCGGGAUUUCUCCAGGAUUUCCUCGGAAAUUCUGCCAGGAGUGCCUUUGGAAUCUCUCCAGGAAUUCCUCUGGAAUUCCUCCAGGAGGUCCUGGAAAAAUUCUUCAGGAGUUUUUUAAGAAUUCUUCCUAGAGUUCCUCGGGAAUUCCUCCAGGAGGAUUUCGGGAUUUUUUUUCCAAAAACUCAUCGGGAAUUUUUCCAACAACUCUUCGAGAAUUUCUCCAGGAAAUUCUCGAGAAUUUCGCCAGGAACUCAUCAAAAAUUUAUCUAGGAUUUCCUCGGGAAUUAUGCCAGGAGUUCCUCGGGAAUUCCUCCUCGUAAAUUCCUGCAGGAGUUCUUUGUGAAUUAUUCCUAGAGUUUCUCGAGAAUUCCUCCUGAAGGAUCUCGGGAAUUUCUCCUGGAACUCCUCGGGAAUUUUUCCAACAACUCUUCGGGAAUUUCUCCAAGAACUCCUCGGAAUUUUCUUUAGGAUUUCCUCGGGAAUUCUGCCAGGAGUUCCUCUGGAAUCCCUCCAGGAGUUCCUCUGGAAGUUCUCCAGUAGUUCCUUUCAAGGGCGUAGCCAGAGGGGGUCAGGGGGGGGGGACAUCUCCAGAAACUCCUUCAGGUAUUUAUUCAGGAACUUCUCCAAGGAUUCUUUCAGAAAUUCCUCAAGGGACAUGUCCAGGAGUUUCUCUUUCGUGAAUUCUUCCAUGGACAUCUUACAGGGUUCAGUAUUUUUAGGGUUUGUUCCAAGAAAUGAUUCAAGAAUUCCUCCCACGAUUCCUUCAGUUUUUUUACAGAUACUUCUGCAAAGAUACAUCUAUGAAUUACUUCAGGAAUUUUUCAUAGCUUCCUCUGAAAUUGCUCCAGAGAGUUUUUCAAAAAUUCCUUUAUGGGUUUCGCCAGACAUUCCUCCGGGAAUUUCUCCUGGGAUAUCUUUAGAAGUUCCUUCAGUGAUUGUUCCAGUGCUUUUUUCGAUGAUUCCUCCAGGAAUUUCCAGGAGUUCCUUAAAUCAUUGUACAAAACAUUCUUUUGGGAAUCCAUCCAAAAAUUCCAACAAUAAUUCGUUCAAAAAUUAUUGCAGACAUGGAUGCCUUCAUUUUUUUCCUACAGAAAUUCUUCCAGGAAUUUGUUAAGAAAGCUUUCCUGACAUUUCCUAAGGAAUUCAUCAUGGGAUUGCUUCCGUGAUUAUCCAGGUUUUCCUUCAAGUAUUCCUCCAAGGAUUCACUCGGAAAUAUCUUCUGUGUUUCUCACAGAAACAACUCCAGGAAUUAUUUUAAAAAAAUCCUCCAAGGGUUCCCCAGGAACACUUUUUAGAAUUCCUUCAGGUGUUUUUCUUGGAAUUCUUUCAGGAACUACUCCAAAAUAUAAUCCAAUACUUUCUGCUGGAACUGUAGACCUGUUCACUUUUUUUGACCUACCCGUGUCACAUCAAAUUAUCAAUCCACAUGCAAAAACAAGUCUUCAGUCCAAAAUUGAGCCAAAUUGAUAAAGGUUUAGAGGUGUAUCAAAUCGAUUUUGUGGUUUUUUGAGCAUUUUCACGAAAAUGUACUCCAAUAUCCAGAAAAUUGCACCGAAAAGGUACAGAAAACACCGUUAAAAUAUAGUUGGAACAAUACUCUACAACUUUGCCGAAGACACUACGGUGUUUAAAUUGCUUAUUUCAAAGUUAUUCAACAAUUUUCGUUAAAAAAUCGCGAGGGUUCCUCCAGCAAUUCGUGUUUGUAUUUUUAUGGAACUUUUCUAGGAAUUGAUUCAGUACUUCCUCCAGGAACUGCUUAGGGAUUCUCUUAGUCAGGCCCGGAUUAAGGAUUGUGGGGUCCCGGGGCCCGAGCGGAUGUGGAGGCCCCUCGGAGGGAUGACCAAAAAUGGUUUUCCUUAUUUUCGAACAGUACUUGAGCAAUGAAGCUAAUGUUAGCAACCAAAAAUAGUUUUGUGGGGGCCCCUAAAAUGUGGGGGCCCGGGGCCCGGGCCCCCCCUUAGAUCCGGCCCUGCUCUUAGUAAUUCCUCUUGAAAUUUCUUCCGGGUUUCCUUCUGGAGUUUCUUCAGAAACUCUUCUAAAGAUUCCUCCCGAAUUUGUUCAAGAACUCCAUCUGCGAUUUCCUAAGGAAUUAUUUCUGGUAUUCCUAUACGAAUUCCUCAAGAGAUUCAUCCACGAGUUUCUUCAGGAAUUCCUCUAGGAAUUACUCCAGGAAAUCCUUCAGGGAUUCCUUCAGAAAUUCUUCCAGGAUUUUUUCUAGGAAUACCUUCUGGAAUUUUUCCAGAAAUUCCGCCAAGAAAUCUUCCAGUAUUCUCUCCAGGAAUUUCUACAGGCAUUUCUCCAGGACUUGCACUAAAAACUCCUCCAGAAACUUUUUUAGUGAUUUUUCCAGGAAUUUCUUCAGAAAUUCGUUCGAGGAUUUCUCCAGAAAUUCCUCCACAGUUUUCUCUAGACAUCCCUCUGGGAAUUUCUCAGGCGAUUUUUUCAGAAAUUUCUCCCAGAGCUCCUCUAGAGAUUCCCCCAGAAAUUCAUCCAUAAAUUGUUGAUGGAAUUCCUACAGAGAUUCCUCCUAGAAUUCCUUCAAGGAUUCCGCCAAAGGAGAACUUCCAGCAAUUCCUCCAGGAUUUUAUUUAGGAAUUUCUCCAAGAACUAUUCUAGGAAAUUCUCCAGAAAUUAUCCCAAGAAUUUCUUAAGGAAUAUCUCCCGCAAUUUCUCUAGGAAUUGAUUCAGGAAUUGCUCCUGGUCAUCCUUUAGAAGUUAUGUCAACAAUUUCUCCAGGAUUUUUUCCAGAAAUUCUUCUGGAUAUUUUUUUUAGAAAUUUUUGCAGGAAAUUCUCCAGGAAUAUCCUCAGGUAUUUUUUAGGGAUUCCUCCAGGAAAUCCUCCGAAGAUUCCUCCAGGAAAUCCCACAGAAGUUCCUCUAAAGAUUCUUCCUGAAAAUGCUCUGGGGAUUCCUUCAUAAAUUCUUGCAGGAAAUUCCUGGAGGAAUACCAUCAGUAUUUUUUUCAAGGAUAAUCCCCAAGGACUUCUUUACAAACUUCUUCUUUGAUUCCUCCAAGGAUUUCUUCAGGAAUUCCUUCGAGGACUUAUCCAAGAGUUCAUCCAGAAAUUCCGCUAGAAAUUUCUCCAGGAUUUUCUAAAGGGAUUUUUUCAGAAAUAGAAAAAUAAUAUAAUAGAAAUAGAAAAUUCCCAGAAUUGGCUUCUUUAGCGAGAAUCCCAUAUUCUGAAUCUCCAUGUCAAACUGAGCCGAAAUCCAAAUUUUCAUGAAUUUUGGUGCUCGGGAACCUAUUUAAAAAUCAGUUUGAAGUUUGUAUGGGAGUGAUUUGUCGAAUCACCCUUCGUCGCAUUUUGUACUGGGCAGAGCUGUCAAACAAUUGCCCAGCUGUCAAAAGGUGGUUUUAAAAAAUCUCUUUGAAAUUCAUUUUAGGUACCAAAGUAAUGUUCUAAAAAUCUGAAAAAAAUCAUAGCGGCUCAGAAAAAGGUGCUCUUUCGUAUAAAAUCAAAAAAAUAAUACAUUUUUCUUAAUUUAAAAACCCAAUUCUUCUAGAAAUUCAUCCAGUAAUUCUUCCAAGAAUUCUUCUGGAGAUUCCUCCAGAAAUUCCCAAAGGAAUACCUCUAGGAAUUUCUCCAGGCAUUCCUCCAGGAUUUUAUCCAGGAAUUUCUCCAGGAACUUCUCUAGGAAUUACCCCAGGAAUGUCUACAUGAAUUCCCCCAGGAAUUUCUCUAGGAAUUGCUCUUGGACAUCAUGCAGAAAUUGUGUCAGCAAUUCCUCUAGCUAUUUCUCCAGGAAUAUCUCCCGAGAUUCGAUCAGGAAUUGCUUAAGGGAUUCCUCCAGAGAUUUCUCCAUGGAAUCUCUUCAGGAAAUUCUUUGAAGAUUCCACCAGGAAAUCCUGCAGAAGUUUCUCCAAGGAUUCUUCCAGGAAACCCCCUAGGGAUUUCUCCAGAAAUUCUUCAAGAAUAUUCUCCAGGAAUACCUUCAGGAAUUUUUCAGGGAUUCCUCCAGGAAUUAAUCAAGGAACUCCAUCAUACAUUAUGUCAGCAAUUCAUCAAGGAGUUACUCCAGGAAAUCCUUCAGGGAUCCCUUCAGAAAUUCUUCCAGGAUUUUUUCUAGGAAUACCUUCUGCAAAUUUUCCAGAAAUUCCACCAUGAAAUCUUCGAGUUUUCUCUCCAGGAAUCGCAACAGAUAUUUAUCUAGGAAUUCCGCUAAAAACUCGUCCAGGAACUUUUUCAGGAAUUUUUACAGGGAUUUCUCCAGGAAUUUCUCCAGAGAUUUCUCUUGAAAUCCCUCCGGGAAUUUCUCAGGGGAUUUUUUCAGAAAUUUCUCCCAGAGCUCCUCUAUAGAUUCCCCCAGAAAUUCAUCCAGAAGUUGUUGAAGGAAUUCCUCCAGAGAUUCCUUCAAGGAUUCCGCCUGCAAUUCCCAAAGGAGAACUUCCAACAAUUUCUUCAGGAAUUCCUCCAGGAAUUUCCCCAAGAACUAUUCCAGGAAAUUCUUCAGGAAUUACCCCAAGAAUUUCUUAAGGAAUAUCUCCAGCAAUUUCUCUAGGAAUUGAUCCAGGAAUUACUCCUGGACAUCCUUCAGAAAUUCUACAGACAUUCUUCUGGUGAUUUUUUUCAGAAAUUCUUACAGGAAAUUCUCCAGGAAUACCCUCAGGUAUUUUUCAGGGAUUCCUCCAGGAAAUCCUCCAGAAGGAUUCUUCCUGGAAAUUCUCUAGGGAUUCCUUCAUAAAUUCUUCCAGGAAAUUCCUGGAGGAAUACCAUCAGUAAUUUUUCAGGGAUUCCCCCAGGGACUUCUUAACAAACUUCUUCUAGGAUUCCCCCAGAGAUUCCUUCAGGCAUUCCUUCAAAGAUUUAUCCAAGAAUUCAUGAUUGAUUGAUUUGUCUUUAUUAUAGAGACUUUCAGCCCUUGGCUGGUUCGUCUCUUUUCAAGAAUUCAUCUAGAAAUUCCGGUAGAAAUUCCUCCAGGAUUUUAUCAAGGGAUUUUUUUCAGAAAUAGAAAAAUAAUAGAAUAGAAAUAGAAAUCUCUCAGAAUUUCAAUAGAAAUUCAUUCAGUAAUUCUUCCAAGAGUUUCUCUUACAGAUUCCUCCAGAAAUUCCCAAAGGAAUACUAGUUAUUCCUCCAGGUAGUCCUCCAGGAUUUUAUCCAGGAAUUUCUCCAGGAAUAACCCCAGUUAUUUCAUCAGGAACUCACCAGGAAAUUCUCCAGGAAUUGCUCCUGGACAUCUUUCAGAAAUUAUGUCAGCAAUUCAUCUAGGUAUUUCUCCAGGAAUUUCUCCCGAGAUUCCAUCAGGAAUUGCUUAAGGGAUUCCUCCAGAGAUUUCUCCAUGAAAAAUAUCUUCAGGAAAUUCUUUGAAGAUUCCUCCAGGAAAUCCUCCAGAAGUUUUUCCAAAGAUUCUUCCAGGAAAUCCUCUAGAGAUUUCUUCAGAAAUUCUUCAAGAAUAUUCUCCAGGAAUUCCUUUAGGUUUUUUUUUCAGGGAUUCCUCCAGGGAUUUCUUCACAAAUUUAUUCAAGGAUGACCCCACGGAUUCCUUCAGGAAUUCCUUCGAGAAUUUCUCCAGGAACUGCACUAGCAAUUCCGCUAGAAAUUCCUCCAGAAAUCUCAAGGGGUUCUUUCAGAAAUAGAAAAAUAACAGAAAUCUCUCAGAAUUCUUCUGGAGAUUCCUUUAGAUAUUCAUCCAGUAAUUCUUUCAACAAUUCCUCUAGAGAUUCCUCCAGAAAUUUCCACUGGAAUACCACUAGAAGCUCCUCCAUUUAUUUCUCCGGGAUGUUAUCUUGGAAUUUCCCCAGAAAAUUUCUUCAGGAAUACACCUCCAGGAAAUACGCCAGGAUUUUUUUCCGGGAUACUCCUGGCAUCCUUCAGGAAUUAUGCCAGCAAUUCGUCCAGGAAUUUCUCCUGGAAAUCCUCUUAGGAUUUCUUCAGAGACUCUUCCAGGAAAUUCUCCAGGAAUACUUUGAGGAAAUUUUCAGGGAUUCCUCCAGACAUUCCUCCAGAGAUUCUUCCAGGAAUUAUUCAGGGAUUUCUUCACGAAUUUUUCGAAGGAUAUUCCCAGAGAUUCCACCAGGGAAUCCUCCAGAAACUCCUCAAAGGGUUCUUAGAGGAAAUUCUCCUGGAAUUUCUCUAGGGAUUUUUUCAGAAAUUUUUCAGCAAUUCCUCCCAGAAUUCCUCUUGAGAUUUCUUCAGGAAUUUCUCCCGGAAUUCUCCUAGGGAUUCCAAGAAUUCACUCAAAAAAUGCCCAAGGAAAUUCUCCAGGAAUUCCUGCUGGGUCUAAUCCAAGAAUUCCUCCAUGAAUUACGCCAGGAAUUUGCUCAAAAGUUUCUACAGGCAUUCCUCCAAGGAUUCCUGCACAAAUUUCUCUAAGAUUUCCUCUAGGAUUUUUUAAAGAGAUUUCUUCUGAAAUUUUACUAGGGGUUCCGUCCAAAAUUCCUCCAGGAAUUUCUCCAGAGUUUCCUCCAAGGAAUCCUCCAGAAAUUUAUCUCGGAUUUCUUCUAGGAUUUCCUCAUGAGAUUUCUUUAGAAAUUUCACUAGGUAUUCUUCCCAUAAUACAUCCAGGAAUUCGUACGGGUUUGUUUUCUGAAAUUCUUACAGAAAUUCCUUCUGGAACUCAAAAAUUUCUGAAGGAAUUUCUCCAACAAAUAGUAUUGGAAGAUAAAUAGACGCAUACAGGAAUCAGGAAAUUCUAGGUUUAUCCUUAAAAAAAUUCGUUAUUUCCAAAAGAGUUCAGCAAUUAUUUCUGAUGCAUGUUUUGUAGACAUUGAUAAAAAAAAUCAGAGCAAAAUAAUGCACGAGUAAAUAAAAAUCCUUAAUCUUCCAGAAAUUGACCACCGCUACCAGCACCACGUUGAUUUGUGUAGAUCAGGCGAGCUUUUUUUAACGUAUAGUACAAAAUACAACAGGGUUAAGGGUUAAAUAAAGCUUUUAGAAUAUAAUGAUAUUAUAUUCUAUUUCAUCGUGUUGCGUUUAGUUAUAAAAGCUAGUAGGUACAUAUUUACGAAGGGUGCUUGACCCACCCCCCUCCCCUCCUGACCGAAAAGCUGGCUACGCCCUUGGUUCCUUUGGAGUUCCUCUGGAAGUCCUCCAGUAGUUCCUCUAGAAUUCCUCCAGGAGUUCCACGAGAAUUCGUGUAGGAGUUCCUCGGGAAUUUGUCCAGGAUUUCCUCGGGAAUUCCUCCAAAAUUCUUCCAGGAGUUUUUCGGGUAUUCUUCCUGGAGUUCCUCGGGAAUUUCUCCUGAAAUUCCUCGGGAUUUUUUUCAAGAGUUUCUCGAUAAUUCCCCCAGGAGUUAGUCGGGAAUUCCUCCAGAAGUUCCCUAGACGGAAGCUUAAAAAAAACAAACGGCAUCCGAAGGCAUCCAUAAAAUUGUACAUAUUUAGAAUCUGGUAAAAAUAAAGAUAAGCAUUUCAACAACCAAAAAACUCCGAUAUCACAUUGUUUUAAUAAGAUAGUAUAAUCAGGAAAAAUAAACGCCAACACACCCCACCCCACCCCCUCCCCUUUUAGGCAGUUACAUUGCUAAUUUUGAGAAUUCACACAUCUUGCACGCCCCUUAGUUCCAUAAUAACUGAUUGAUGGAUGACCUCUUGGCGAACCGCAUCUGUUGUUUCUAGUUCGGAAUUUAUUAACUACUUCACAAUAUUCAUGUUGAAGUGUGGCUACUAACAUACAUUCAUACAUACAUUUGUCACAAUAUUCAUGUUGAAGUUAAACUCACUUUUAACAAUAAUUACCAGCUGACUAACGAGCAUUUUAGCUCUGAAGUCUUUUAACUUAAGUACUACUAGCCUUUGAGUCUAUCUUGUUGUUCCAAUUUUUCAGUUUGCUCGAAAUAAAUAACUAGGUUAGAUAUUUGAAACUCACUUUUAAUAGUCAAGAGCUUGUUCGCCAUGUGCCAUCCAGUAGACGUAUCGCUCAGCGGAGAGAAAAGCGCAGAUAUAGGCAAACGGACUAGAGCAUGCGUUGCAAUAACAGAAUAGCAGAAGAAGUUACAACGGUUCAUGAAUGCUAGUUGCUAGGAAUAUUUAAGUUAAUUAGGUUCACCAUGUCCUCUCAAAUAAGGUACACCGGGGCAAGUUGAAACGGUUGGGAUACAACGCUAAGUUUUGAAAAAGACCUCAAUAAAAUUUGGAAAGUUAUUGUUUUCCGAAAGAUUGUUUGAUAAAAAAAAUUAUGUGUUAUAGUUUUCAAACCGUUUAUCAUGAUUGAAUAAUAUCACGUUAACCAUCUGUUUCAUCUUACCCCGCUGUACGUUAGCAAAGGAAGCUAUACAUAGGUUCAUUAAAGUUAGUGAAUAAUACUCUGCAUAUAGAGUUGAUUAGGAACCAUCAAAUAGCAUGGAAAUGCUUAUACGCAUAUUUAGUUUUGAUUAUCAUAACUCCUCUCCGACACGAAUGCCUACUAUGGUAAAGUGUCGUAAAUAAAUAAUAAUAAUAAUAAAAAUAACUCCUCUUAUUCUCUUUGCAACAAGGUUGCUCCCUGUUGUUUUUUUUUUGAAAUUUGUAAAUUCGUUCAUUAACCUAAAUUAAAUUAAGAGAUACAUAAAUGUUAAUCUAUAAUGAAGAAUUGCUAAAUGAUACUGGUUCGUUUUAAAAUUUUGUUUAAGUUCUAGGGGAAAUUGUGUAUUUUCGGCAGAUUUGUUCUCUUCGUCAUGGGGAGUAUUUUGAAAGCUGUUGAACUCGGAGUUGGCCUCAAAUCCUACUCUAUACCAAGCUGAAUUAUACGACCAAGUUUUAGGAAAUUUGGCCGGCAAAACCCCCACAUGACGAAGACAAUAAACCUGCCGAUAAUACCCUUAGUCACCCUAUUUGAAAACAUAGAAACAACCAGGGUUGUACAGUUUCAGGAUGGUCAAUGUCGAAUGACACUCGCUCUAACCAUCACUUCAUACGACAAACGCAGUCCAUCAAAACAUAAUCGAUUCACGCAAAAGCCAUUCAAGCGAACCCUCGUUCAAUGCAGAGUCAACCACAUCCAACAUCAGCGAUCGUCUCUUGUUUUCGAACCACACGAUGAAACGCCGAAGCGAGUUUUUGUUCUACGCUUUGCAUUCUAUUCAUAGCAUUCAUAGGGCGUGCUAUGUUUGUGUUUUCUGCGCCAUGCAAUAUUACUUAACAAAUUGACCAUCAUCCUGGCAUUUUCAGGCGAGAGUCACCCAGCAGUGAGUGACAUAGCUCUGCGUCGGAACGACGGUUAAGAAGCGUUCGGCUACUCAAGAGAUUUGCAGAGAAAGAGCGUGGCGGCGGCAGCCACCGUAUCAAUGCGUUCGUCUCGAAUGUGUUCGAUACCAACAUAGAGACGGUCGGCUGUAGCGUUGAUGGAGGAAGAAGGGCAAUGUUGAUGUUGCGGCUUUUUUGUGUUAUGAUGGUGAUAAUGCACAAGACUGGAAACAACAACAAAGCAAGAUGUGCGUGAACACUUAAAUUUCAAAAGUUCCACUGUCGGCGUCGGUGGUGUAGUGGUAAGCGUGGUUGCCUCUCACCCCAGUCGGUCGGGGUUCAAUUCCCGUCGACGCCGAUGGGAUUUUCUGAGACAUAAAAUCCGUGAUCACGCCUUCCCUCGGAUAGGAAGUAAAGCCGUAGGUCCCGGCCCAUGUGUUGAUGGGUUCGAUAUGUAGGGUCCUCAGGUGUGGUGGCUGUCUCCCUGGGGCGUCGGAAUUUAAGGCUUAGCUCCUAGACCCAGCCGACGUAAAAUACAACUGGCGCCGAACGGUGCUA